rnacentral:rRNA from 1 species
AGACCCGAAACCCGGUGAUCUAGCCAUGGGCAGGUUGAAGGUUGGGUAACACUAACUGGAGGACCGAACCGACUAAUGUUGAAAAAUUAGCGGAUGACCUGUGGCUGGGGGUGAAAGGCCAAUCAAACCGGGAGAUAGCUGGUUCUCCCCGAAAGCUAUUUAGGUAGCGCCUCGUGAAUUCAUCUCCGGGGGUAGAGCACUGUUUCGGCUAGGGGGCCAUCCCGGCUUACCAACCCGAUGCAAACUGCGAAUACCGGAGAAUGUUAUCACGGGAGACACACGGCGGGUGCUAACGUCCGUCGUGAAGAGGGAAACAACCCAGACCGCCAGCUAAGGUCCCAAAGUCAUGGUUAAGUGGGAAACGAUGUGGGAAGGCCCAGACAGCCAGGAUGUUGGCUUAGAAGCAGCCAUCAUUUAAAGAAAGCGUAAUAGCUCACUGGUCGAGUCGGCCUGCGCGGAAGAUGUAACGGGGCUAAACCAUGCACCGAAGCUGCGGCAGCGAACGUAUCACUUAAAGCGAUUCAGCGGGUUACGAUUGACGGAGCGAAGCGACGUCAAAGCGUAUACAAAGUCGAGUCGGUUUAAGGAUACGUUCGUUGGGUAGGGGAGCGUUCUGUAAGCCUGUGAAGGUGGCCUGUGAGGGUUGCUGGAGGUAUCAGAAGUGCGAAUGCUGACAUAAGUAACGAUAAAGCGGGUGAAAAGCCCGCUCGCCGGAAGACCAAGGGUUCCUGUCCAACGUUAAUCGGGGCAGGGUGAGUCGACCCCUAAGGCGAGGCCGAAAGGCGUAGUCGAUGGGAAACGGGUUAAUAUUCCCGUACUUGGUGUUACUGCGAAGGGGGGACGGAGAAGGCUAUGUUGGCCGGGCGACGGUUGUCCCGGUUUAAGCGUGUAGGUGUGUGUUCCAGGUAAAUCCGGUUCACUUUAACACUGAGGCGUGACGACGAGGCACUACGGUGCUGAAGCAACAAAUGCCCUGCUUCCAGGAAAAGCCUCUAAGCAUCAGGUAACAUCAAAUCGUACCCCAAACCGACACAGGUGGUCAGGUAGAGAAUACCAAGGCGCUUGAGAGAACUCGGGUGAAGGAACUAGGCAAAAUGGUGCCGUAACUUCGGGAGAAGGCACGCUGACACGUAGGUGAAGUGAUUUACUCAUGGAGCUGAAGUCAGUCGAAGAUACCAGCUGGCUGCAACUGUUUAUUAAAAACACAGCACUGUGCAAACACGAAAGUGGACGUAUACGGUGUGACGCCUGCCCGGUGCCGGAAGGUUAAUUGAUGGGGUCAGCGCAAGCGAAGCUCCUGAUCGAAGCCCCGGUAAACGGCGGCCGUAACUAUAACGGUCCUAAGGUAGCGAAAUUCCUUGUCGGGUAAGUUCCGACCUGCACGAAUGGCGUAAUGAUGGCCAGGCUGUCUCCACCCGAGACUCAGUGAAAUUGAACUCGCUGUGAAGAUGCAGUGUACCCGCGGCAAGACGGAAAGACCCCGUGAACCUUUACUAUAGCUUGACACUGAACAUUGAGCCUUGAUGUGUAGGAUAGGUGGGAGG